CAGACAGCCCAGAAGACUGAAGAUUUAUUUAUUCACAGAGCAGGCGCGGAAGCAUAGGCAACAGCAGUGUAAACUUCCCCCACAAUGGGCCUGGCCAGUGUGCCUCAACCCUGAGCAGCAGGGAAUGUUGCUAGGGCAUGAGUGGAGUGAAUGUCAGUGUCCAUGGUCUACUCAGUCCUUGGUUUCU
rnacentral:sRNA from 1 species